UAGAGAUUAGCCAAAUGGUAAGGCACAGUUCUAAAGAAUUGUCAUCGGUGGUUCGAUUCCACCCUCUCUAA
rnacentral:tRNA from 1 species